ensembl:piRNA 21ur-14162 ncRNA
UUGUCACUAUUCUUUCGUUGA